rnacentral:rRNA from 1 species
UACGAAGGGGGCUAGCGUUGCUCGGAAUCACUGGGCGUAAAGCGCACGUAGGCGGAUUGUUAAGUCAGGGGUGAAAUCCUGGAGCUCAACUCCAGAACCGCCUUUGAUACUGACGGUCUUGAGUUCGGGAGAGGUGAGUGGAACUGCGAGUGUAGAGGUGAAAUUCGUAGAUAUUCGCAAGAACACCAGUGGCGAAGGCGGCUCACUGGCCCGAUACUGACGCUGAGGUGCGAAAGCGUGGGGAGCAAACAGG